rnacentral:rRNA from 1 species
AUAGGUCAAGCUACAAAGGGCGCAUGGUGAAUGCCUUGGCAUCAGGAGCCGAUGAAGGACGCGAUAAGCUGCGAUAAGCUUCGGGUAGACGCACAUAGUCAGAGAUCCGAAGAUUUCCGAAUGAGGAAACUCACAUGGGAAACCC